UCGGGAUAGCUCAGUUGGUAGAGCAGAGGACUGAAAAUCUCUUACCGUUUUAAAU
rnacentral:tRNA from 1 species